UGACGCACUUGCGCUUCGGGAUUUUCCCGGUAGCAUGCUUGUCUGAGUGUCUGUGGACCCCACUCAGUGUGUAUGUUGUGUGUCAUGUGCCUCGGUGCAGAACGCGACGUACGUGGCUGGAUCUUGUAUGGCUGUGAUGUUUGUAGCAUCUCGGCUUGAAUUGGUGAUAGUGUGAAUAUGAAUCUGCUGGUCAGAUUGGUUCCUCGCCUAUCUUUGGUAGUAACAUACUGAAGUUCUGUGCAAGCAACUGAUCCAACAAGCAAUUGAUGUGACCACGGUACACCCCUUGGGUGUACAACCAACUUCAGAUCUCAGAUCAAGCAAGAGGACCCGCCGAAUUUAAGCAUAUAAUUAAGCGGAGGAAAAGAAACUAACUAGGAUUCCCCCAGUAAGGGCGACUGAAGCGGGAAGAGCUCAAGAUGUGAAUCUGCACUAUUUACAGGUGCCGAAUUGUGGUCUGAAGACUGUGACAUUAUCUGCCGGGCCAAGUCCCUUGGAAAAGGGCAGCUGAGAGGGUGAGACUCCCGUCCGCCUGGUGGAGUGAGUCGCAAGUCAACGAGUCGAGUUGUUUGGGAUUGCAGCUCAAAGCUGGUGGUAAUUCCAUCUAA
rnacentral:rRNA from 1 species